UGCCAGCCGCCGCGGUAAUACAGAGGGAUCUAGCGUUAUUCGGAAUUACUGGGCGUAAAGCGAGCGUAGGCGGAUUUGUAGGCAUCUUGUGAAAUCCCUCGGCUCAACCGGGGAAUUGCAGGGUGAACCACAAGUCUUGAGGCGAGUAGAGGCGGUCGGAACGAUAGGUGGAGCGGUGAAAUGCGUAGAUAUCUAUCGGAACGCCAAAGGUGAAGACAGGCCGCUGGGCUCGUCCUGACGCUGAGGUACGAAAGCAUGGGUAGCGAACGGGAUUAGAUA
rnacentral:rRNA from 1 species